AAAAAAGAAACUCCUUUAUAUUUGAACUAGAUUGGGUAGGUUUCUGUUCCUUGCAGCCCAAUGAGCCUGACCCUACUUGUUACCGUGGCAAGUCUCUGCCCCCUGUCUGGGCCUCAGUUUGACUACACCACCGUCUCUAAGAUCUUCUCCAGAUCAAUGUUCUCUUUGAACAUCAUGCAGAGUGAAUGGGUUUUAGGUUGUUGGCAACUGAGUUCAGUAUUAGUUACAGAGUGUCCAUGUUAUCCUGGCUCCCAAAAUAACUUGGUGGCUGGUUAAAGAGCCUGUGGGAGGAUCCAACACACACCUGGCUUUGAACCUGAGCCCUGCUGAUAGAGUCUGCCUCCCCUGUCCAUUGCAUCCUUUGUUGGAUCACAAAGGGACUGAGGAACCAGGGCUGGUGUUUCUCCAGUAUCUUUUGGCUGCUGAAUGCCCUACCUACCCCCUUAACACUUUCCUGGACCCACUUCAGCAUUUCAGAGGAUCCCAGUGCCAGCCCAUGAUUUCAUUUCCAGGAUCCACGUGUUUUCAGGAAGCUGACUCCAUCAGGGUAGAGGAGGGCUGAGCCAGUCAAUCCCACUGACUAGAAUGACUGGUUCAGGUGGGUCAUAUGAACUCACCAGUCCAAUCAGAGAGGAUCUCAGGAUUUUUGCUGAGAAGGCUGGCACACAGCCUGUCUCUUCCUUGCUAACCACGAAUGAGGAAGUAUGCAGGCCCUGGGAGCUGUUGGCAGUCAUCUUGGGACAAUAAGAGGAGCAGAAACCAGGAAGAAAGAGUAGCCCUGAGGACUAGGAGGUUAAUUUGGGGCAACAUGGAAGCCAUAUGCUGUAGUCACUGCUUAGGAAGCUCUGGCAUGGUGAAUCAGGUUCAUGCCCCUUACGAUGCCUAUUGUUGAUCACAAAGCAAGACCAAUUUACAAGCAUCAAGGAAAACUCUGGAAGAGAAAGAAAGUUCUAGAUAUCAGCCACUUUUCCCAUAGUCACAUCCUGGAUCAAUGGCUUUUAAAUAUUUUUUAGUGUGCCC
rnacentral:lncRNA from 1 species